rnacentral:rRNA from 1 species
GGUGAACGCUGGCGGUAGGCCUAACACAUGCAAGUCGAACGGCAGCACAGUAAGAGCUUGCUCUUACGGGUGGCGAGUGGCGGACGGGUGAGGAAUACAUCGGAAUCUACUUUUUCGUGGGGGAUAACGUAGGGAAACUUACGCUAAUACCGCGUACGACCUACGGGUGAAAGCAGGGGAUCUUCGGACCUUGCGCGAUUGAAUGAGCCGAUGUCGGAUUAGCUAGUUGGCGGGGUAAAGGCCCACCAAGGCGACGAUCCGUAGCUGGUCUGAGAGGAUGAUCAGCCACACUGGAACUGAGACACGGUCCAGACUCCUACGGGAGGCAGCAGUGGGGAAUAUUGGACAAUGGGCGCAAGCCUGAUCCAGCCAUACCGCGUGGGUGAAGAAGGCCUUCGGGUUGUAAAGCCCUUUUGUUGGGAAAGAAAAGCAGCAGGUUAAUACCCCGCUGUUCUGACGGUACCCAAAGAGUAAGCACCGGCUAACUUCGUG